CCCUUAGACGUUCUGGGCCGCACGCGCGCUACACUGACCAGUGCAACAAGCAUCCGUCCUUGGCCGACAGGCCCGGGCAAUCUUUGAACGCUGGUCGUGGUGGGGAUAGACUUUUGCAAUUUUUGGUCCUCAACGAGGAAUUCCUAGUAAACGCAAGUCAUCAACUUGCAUUGAUUACGUCCCUGCCCUUUGUACACACCGCCCGUCGCACCUACCGAUUGAAUGGUCCGGUGAAGCCUCCGGAUUGGCGCGCACCUCGGUGCCGCCGAGAAGUUGGCUAAACCUCACCAUUUAGAGGAAGGUGAAGUCGUAACA
rnacentral:rRNA from 1 species